rnacentral:lncRNA from 1 species
UUGCUAAAAGAACAACAACAGGGAAAUGGAAGAAACUUCUUCCAUUUGGGUGGACUAGUUUAGCUUAAUAUAUAUAUAUAUAUAUAUAUAUAUAUAUAUAUAUAUAUAUAUAUAUAUAUAUAUAUAUAUAUAUAUUUUCGUCUUUAAUUUUUUGUGAAACAGUUGAAUUGAGAAAGGAGUCAUCUUGCACUUUGAUAUUGUCUAACAAGUCAGAUCAUUAUGUAGCUUUCAAGGUGAGGUCUACUUGUGGUAAUGCACAGAAGUAUUAUGUUGAUCCUUCUUGCAUUGGAGUUGUGCUGCCUAGGUCUACUUGUGAUAUUAUAGGUUUUCCCCUCUCUUUUUCACCAUUUUUUCAUCAGCACUUGUUAUUGCUUACUGCACCCUCUUUAGUAAAUUAUUUACUCUAGACAAGCUAAAUCCAUUGUAUAAAUGUAGUUUGUUCUGUUACUCACUUUCUUUGACUGUUUGUGUCAUAUUUACAUUUUCACAUUGCAGUUACAAUGCUAGGCCAAAAAGAAGCCCCUCUUGACAUGCAAUGCAAAGAUAUGCUUCGCAUUCAAAGCAUAGUUGCAAAUACUAAAUUGUUUCUUUAUAUAGUUUAAAGAAUAUCGCUGUAUGUGUGACAUAACAUAUGCUGAUUUUAGUUGUUUUCUUUCUUCAAUGCUUGUAGUUUCAUAAAGAGUCCGGUUAUGUGGUUGACGAGUGCAAACUAAGAGUUGUUUAAGAUCAUGAUGAUUCUAAUUUGUUUGAUGAUGAUUCUCUAAUACUAGCAAGAGUAGUAGUGUGUCAUGUUGACCCAUUAUUCAGGGAAAAUAUCCUCUUCACCUCCCAUUUAUUGAGGUGGAGCUCAAUGCUUUUCGGCAUUUUUGCAAUUUAUCUUCAUUUUGUAGAGCAAAAGCUAUAUUUAAGAGGUUCAAUAAAAUCACGAUGCGAUUUUGUUGCAAAUCCAUAAAAGUUUUGAGAAGUUACCGUGGAAAAGAAUACACGUCGAAUAAAGUUUGUGAAGACGAAGGUGUGGAGAGACAAGUGACCAUUAAUAAUUUCAUCGAAGCAUAAUGGUGUAUCCGAAAGAAAGAAUCAAACUAUCAUGGAGAUGUCUAAGUCCAUGUUGUUCGAGAAAAGGGUGCCCAAAGAAAGUUGUCUUGAAGGUGUUGAUAUAGAUAUAAAGACAUUGAUAUAAUAAAAUAAGAUUUAUAUAUAACUAGCCAAAUGAAAUAUGCUCAUUAUAGUCUUGAAGCUCUAAUAUACACCGACAAUGUAA